rnacentral:tRNA from 1 species
AGAACUAUAGCUCAGUUGGUUAGAGCGCCACCUUGACAUGGUGGAGGUCCCCGGUUCGAGUCCGGGUAGUUCUACCA